AAAGAUCGAUACCGAGGGGGGCAUGAUGCCCCGGAGAAUUCCUGCUCUGGCAGGCAGUCCGUACCCAGUAAUGGCUGAAACUCCCUAUACCUCAACAAGUUGCCACUCCGGCGUGAAGGUAUCGUUCU
rnacentral:sRNA from 24 species